rnacentral:rRNA from 1 species
UACGUAUGGAGCAAGCGUUAUCCGGAUUUACUGGGUGUAAAGGGAGUGUAGGUGGCCAGGCAAGUCAGAAGUGAAAGCCCGGGGCUCAACCCCGGGACUGCUUUUGAAACUGCAGGGCUAGAGUGCAGGAGGGGCAAGUGGAAUUCCUAGUGUAGCGGUGAAAUGCGUAGAUAUUAGGAGGAACACUAGUGGCGAAGGCGGCUUGCUGGACUGUAACUGACACUGAGGCUCGAAAGCGUGGGGAGCAAACAGG